UACGGGGGGUGCGAGCGUUGUCCGGAAUCACUGGGCGUAAAGGGCGCGUAGGUGGUCUUAUAAGGGUGUGGUGAAAGCCCGGGCUCAACCUGGGAACGGCGCUUGGGACGGCGAGGCUGGAGUUCGGGAGAGGAGAGUGGAAUUCCCAGUGUAGAGGUGAAAUUCGUAGAUAGUUGGGAAGAACACCGGUGGCGAAGGCGGCUACUCGUGGACCGACACU
rnacentral:rRNA from 1 species